AUCUUCUCACUGAGCCCCUGUCUGCCAGCCAGUGACAGAUUAUGGAUUCACACGUGAAGAGAGUUCACAGAACUGGCACUUAUCUGUUUUGGCAGAGGUAUACUUGGCUGCGGUGUGAGACAUUC